rnacentral:rRNA from 1 species
UGUCCAGCUUUGAUCCUGGCUCAGGAUGAACGCUAGCUACAGGCUUAACACAUGCAAGUCGAGGGGAAACGACAUCGAAAGCUUGCUUUUGAUGGGCGUCGACCGGCGCACGGGUGAGUAACGCGUAUCCAACCUGCCCACCACUUGGGGAUAACCUUGCGAAAGUAAGACUAAUACCCAAUGAUAUCUCUAGAAGGCAUCAGAAAGAGAUUAAAGAUUUAUCGGUGAUGGAUGGGGAUGCGUCUGAUUAGCUUGUUGGCGGGGUAACGGCCCACCAAGGCGACGAUCAGUAGGGGUUCUGAGAGGAAGGUCCCCCACAUUGGAACUGAGACACGGUCCAAACUCCUACGGGAGGCAGCAGUGAGGAAUAUUGGUCAUGGGCGAGAGCCUGAACCAGCCAAGUAGCGUGCAGGACGACGGCCCUAUGGGUUGUAAACUGCUUUUAUAAGGGAAUAAAGUGAGUCUCGUGAGACUUUUUGCAUGUACCUUAUGAAUAAGGACCGGCUAAUUCCGUGCCAGCAGCCGCGGUAAUACGGAAGGUCCGGGCGUUAUCCGGAUUUAUUGGGUUUAAAGGGAGCGUAGGCCGGAGAUUAAGCGUGUUGUGAAAUGUAGUGGCUCAACCUCUGCACUGCAGCGCGAACUGGUCUUCUUGAGUACGCACAACGUGGGCGGAAUUCGUGGUGUAGCGGUGAAAUGCUUAGAUAUCACGAAGAACUCCGAUUGCGAAGGCAGCUCACGGGAGCGCAACUGACGCUGAAGCUCGAAAGUGCGGGUAUCGAACAGGAUUAGAUACCCUGGUAGUCCGCACGGUAAACGAUGGAUGCCCGCUGUUGGCCUGAAUAGGUCAGCGGCCAAGCGAAAGCAUUAAGCAUCCCACCUGGGGAGUACGCCGGCAACGGUGCAACUCAAAUGAAUUGACGGA